GGCGAACGGGUGAGUAACGCGUGAGUAACCUGCCCUGGAGUGGGGGACAACAGUUGGAAACGACUGCUAAUACCGCAUAAGCCCACGGAUCCGCAUGGAUCUGCGGGAAAAGGAUUUAUUCGCUUCAGGAUGGACUCGCGUCCAAUUAGCUAGUUGGUGAGGUAACGGCCCACCAAGGCGACGAUUGGUAGCCGGACUGAGAGGUUGAACGGCCACAUUGGGACUGAGACACGGCCCAGACUCCUACGGGAGGCAGCAUG
rnacentral:rRNA from 1 species